rnacentral:rRNA from 1 species
UACGGAGGGGGCUAGCGUUGUUCGGAAUUACUGGGCGUAAAGCGCGCGUAGGCGGACCUGCAAGUCGGGGGUGAAAGCCCGAGGCUCAACCUCGGAACUGCCUUCGAUACUGCGGGUCUCGAGUCCGGGAGAGGCGAGUGGAAUUCCCGGUGUAGCGGUGAAAUGCGUAGAGAUGUGGAGGAAUACCGAUGGCGAAGGCAGCCCCCUGGGAUAACACUGACGCUCAUGCACGAAAGCGUGGGGAGCAAACAGG